GCGCUCGUGGCAUAUUGGUUGUGCUCCAGCCUUCCAAGCUGGCUAAGCAGGUUCGAUUCCUGUCGGGCGCU
rnacentral:tRNA from 1 species